GCCCACGACAUCAGGGAGGUGAUGCUAUGACAUUCAUGUGAACUGGAUAUGUUGUUGAGCCUGUGGAGGGAUGUGCAUUUAUCUGAACAGAGCUCAGGUUGGGCCAGGGGCCAGAUCGGCCAGCCUGUGAUCCCUACGUCCACAGCUUCUCCACGGGCACCAUGAUGGGUGUUCAGGGCCUGACCCUACAAAGCUACCUGACCCUAGGAGUCUUGGUAUCUCUUGCUCACUGUGAACAUGUGUUCCUAGACCAGCAGCAGGCACUGUCUGUGCUCCAGAGGGUCCGGCGGGCCAACAGGGGCCUCCUGGAGGAAAUGCGAGCAGGAAACCUAGAGCGGGAGUGUCUGGAGGAACAGUGCAGCUAUGAAGAGGCCUUCGAGGCUUUGGAAUCCACGGCAGCCACGGUGAGAAGGGACCAGGGGAGCUGCAGGGAGGCCCAAGCAAAGCAGGCCGGGCUGGGGCGUCAGGAAAGGAGGGCUAAAGGCAAGGGGAGAGGGACAGUAGCCUGCAGGUGGUCCCAGCCCUUCAGCACCUGCCUUUAUCCUUACAGGAUGCAUUCUGGACCAAGUACAAAUGUGAGUGACAUGGGCAGGGGUGGGAUGGCAGAUGCUUAG
rnacentral:lncRNA from 1 species